rnacentral:rRNA from 1 species
UGGGGAAUAUUGGACAAUGGGCGCAAGCCUGAUCCAGCCAUGCCGCGUGAGUGAUGAAGGCCUUAGGGUUGUAAAGCUCUUUCGCCGGUGAAGAUAAUGACGGUAACCGGAGAAGAAGCCCCGGCUAACUUCGUGCCAGCAGCCGCGGUAAUACGAAGGGGGCUAGCGUUGCUCGGAAUCACUGGGCGUAAAGCGCACGUAGGCGGAUCGUUAAGUCAGGGGUGAAAUCCUGGAGCUCAACUCCAGAACUGCCCUUGAUACUGGCGAUCUCGAGUUCGAGAGAGGUUGGUGGAACUCCGAGUGUAGAGGUGAAAUUCGUAGAUAUUCGGAAGAACACCAGUGGCGAAGGCGGCCAACUGGCUCGAUACUGACGCUGAGGCGCGAAAGCGUGGGGAGCAAACAGGAUUAGAUACCCUGGUAGUCCACGCCGUAAACGAUGGAUACUAGCCGUUGGGGGGUUUACCUCUCAGUGGCGCAGCUAACGCCUUAAGCAUCCCGCCUGGGGAGUACGGUCGCAAGAUUAAAACUCAAAGGAAUUGACGGGGUCAUAGCUGUUUUCCU